rnacentral:ncRNA from 1 species
UCUUACUUUCCCUGCGAACCUCUGCGAUACUUUCUCGCACUGCACCGCCAACUCACGUGUCGGACACAACACAAGCGCCUGGUUAAACAACAAUUUUAAUACUUGUUUUAGGUAGGCUCUAAAUGUUUUGAUUACAGGAAUCUGCCUGUUCCAAAAUUGUACCAGAUGGAGAUCAAGCUAGCCUGAAUAAUGGUGCAUGAAAUAAUGGAAUAGGAUCUCGGUUUUUAUUUUGUUGGUUUCGGAGCGCGAGGUAAUGAUUAAGAGGGACAGACGGGUCAUUCGUACUGUGUCGUUAGAGGUGAAAUUCUUGGAUCGGCGCAAGACGAAUGAAUGCGAAAACAUUUGCCAAGAAUGUUUUCUUUAAUCAAGA